UGAGGAAUAUUGGUCAAUGGACGCAAGUCUGAACCAGCCAUGCCGCGUGCAGGAUGACGGCUCUAUGAGUUGUAAACUGCUUUUGUACGAGGGUAAACUCGGGUACGUGUACCCGCUUGAAAGUAUCGUACGAAUAAGGAUCGGCUAACUCCGUGCCAGCAGCCGCGGUAAUACGGAGGAUCCGAGCGUUAUCCGGAUUUAUUGGGUUUAAAGGGUGCGUAGGCGGUUUGGUAAGUUAGAGGUGAAAACUCGGAGCUCAACUCCGAACGUGCCUCUAAUACUGCUAAACUAGAGAGUAGUUGCUGUUGGCGGAAUGUGUAGUGUAGCGGUGAAAUGCUUAGAGAUUACACAGAACACCGAUUGCGAAGGCAGCUAACAAAGCUAUAUCUGACGUUGAGGCACGAAAGCGUGGGGAGCAAACAGG
rnacentral:rRNA from 1 species